rnacentral:rRNA from 1 species
AAACAUGUCUUUUUGAAUUGUAUUUAAAGUCUGACCUGCCCACUGAAUAAUUUUAAAUGGCCGCAGUAUUUUGACUGUGCAAAGGUAGCAUAAUCAUUAGUCUUUUAAUUGAAGGCUGGUAUGAACGGUUGGACGAAGUAUAAGCUGUUUCAUAUAAAUUUAUAAUAGAAUUUUAUGUUUUAGUUAAAAAGCUAAAAUUUUAUUAAAAGACGAGAAGACCCUAUAAAUCUUUAUAUUUAAUAUUAACUAAAUUUUUUUGAUUUAUUUUAUUUUUUUUAUAUUAAUUAUUUUGUUGGGGUGAUAUUAAAAUUUAAUGAACUUUUAAUUUUAUAAAAAUCAUUAAUUUAUGAAUUAUUGAUCCAUUAAUAGUGAUUAUAAGAUUAAGUUACUUUAGGGAUAACAGCGUAAUUUUUUUUGAGAGUUCAUAUCGACAAAAAAGUUUGCGACCUCGAUGUUGGAUUAAGGUAUAAUUUUGGGUGCAGUUGUUCAAAAAUUAAGUCUGUUCGACUUUUAAAUCCUUACAUGAUC